rnacentral:tRNA from 2 species
UGGAGUAUGGUGUAAUGGUAACACUACAGAUUCUGGUCCUGUCAUUCUAGGUUCGAAUCCUAGUACUCCAA